CAACCUCCCUGAGGAUCCACCGGCGGUCAUUUUUCCCCAGCAAACACCCCUUCCUCCUUCAGCAGCUCUGCUUGGUUUUGCUUUUGAUUUCUCUCUCUCUCCCUCUGUAUCACGGGGAUAAUGCUUAGUGCUUUGUUGAAAUAUUGUAAGUGAGAACGGAAAAAGCUGCUCGUGCUGCUUCUUUAGAUUCUUCUCUUCCCUCGCGCCCUUUUGACACUCG
rnacentral:misc_RNA from 1 species